UACGUAGGUGGCAAGCGUUGUCCGGAUUUACUGGGCGUAAAGAGCGCGCAGGCGGUUGAUUAAGUCGAAUGUGAAAGCCCCCGGCUCAACUGGGGAGGGUCAUUCGAUACUGAUCGACUCGAAGGCAGGAGAGGGAAGUGGAAUUCCGGGUGUAGUGGUGAAAUGCGUAGAUAUCCGGAGGAACACCAGUGGCGAAGGCGACUUCCUGGCCUGUUCUUGACGCUGAGGCGCGAAA
rnacentral:rRNA from 1 species